rnacentral:rRNA from 1 species
AGGGAAUCUUCCGCAAUGGACGAAAGUCUGACGGAGCAACGCCGCGUGAGUGAUGAAGGUUUUCGGAUCGUAAAGCUCUGUUGCCAGGGAAGAACGUCCGUUAGAGUAACUGCUAACGGAGUGACGGUACCUGAGAAGAAAGCCACGGCUAACUACGUGCCAGCAGCCGCGGUAAUACGUAGGUGGCAAGCGUUGUCCGGAAUUAUUGGGCGUAAAGCGCGCGCAGGCGGCUGUUUAAGUCUGGUGUUUAAUCCUGGGGCUCAACCCUAGGUCGCACUGGAAACUGGGCAGCUUGAGUGCAGAAGAGGAGAGUGGAAUUCCACGUGUAGCGGUGAAAUGCGUAGAGAUGUGGAGGAACACCAGUGGCGAAGGCGACUCUCUGGGCUGUAACUGACGCUGAGGCGCGAAAGCGUGGGGAGCAAAC